AUGAACGCUGGCGGCGUGCCUAAUACAUGCAAGUCGAGCGAACAGAUGAGGAGCUUGCUCCUCUGACGUUAGCGGCGGACGGGUGAGUAACACGUGGAUAACCUACCUAUAAGACUGGGAUAACUUCGGGAAACCGGAGCUAAUACCGGAUAAUAUAUUGAACCGCAUGGUUCAAUAGUGAAAGACGGUUUUGCUGUCACUUAUAGAUGGAUCCGCGCCGCAUUAGCUAGUUGGUAAGGUAACGGCUUACCAAGGCAACGAUGCGUAGCCGACCUGAGAGGGUGAUCGGCCACACUGGAACUGAGACACGGUCCAGACUCCUACGGGAGGCAGCAGUAGGGAAUCUUCCGCAGUGGGCGAAAGCCUGACGGAGCAACGCCGCGUGAGUGAUGAAGGUCUUCGGAUCGUAAAACUCUGUUAUUAGGGAAGAACAAAUGUGUAAGUAACUAUGCACGUCUUGACGGUACCUAAUCAGAAAGCCACGGCUAACUACGU
rnacentral:rRNA from 1 species